rnacentral:rRNA from 1 species
AUGGAUGACCAUAGAUCCGAGUCUGGUAGCCGCGCCGAGCAUCGGGAUGGUUGUGGCAAUGACACCCCGGGCGCAACCGCCGUCGGAGAUGAUUCCGACCUGGACGGGUCAUCCUCCAGCGCUGUGCCCGGAGAUCCACCCACGCCAACAUCACGCAUCUCCUUGAAGCAUGCAGUCAGUGUAAUUCAGACUUUUGAUGACUACAAGAAGUGGUUAGUAGAGCAGAUUAGGUUUGGAGGUAUGCUGAAGCUGCCAGCACUACAGAAGCUGAGUCUGAAGACGAGCGCGUGGAUUAUGAGCAGAGUUAGCGUCAGCCGCAGGGAGAUUAAAUUGAGGGACAACAAGGUUCUUAAGUUUUACCCACAGGAUUUCUACAAGGUUUUUGGGAUCCCAUGCGGCCACCGUAGUGUCAAGGGGAGGGAUGCAAACAUCAAUCCUGAGGCUGUUCAUUUUAUAAAGACAACACUUCAGAUGAACAAAACUGGAGUACACAGCUUGAGGGCAGCUGGAGAUUUUCUGAUGCGUGACAUCAAUGAGAAUUCAAGCAAACUAGAGAAAGAUUGUUUCCAGAUCGCAUUUGUGAUAUUCGUUAUGGGUCAUGUGCUAGUUCCAACCACGAAGCACAACUACACGACCAUUGACUUUUGGGGAGCCAUAGCAAACAUUGAAUCAAUCGAUCAAUUUAACUGGUGUGAGUAUGUCCUUCAGCACCUUCUCGAUGCAGUGAAGAAGCUUAAGAGAGACAUGAUGGCCAACAAUCUAUCGACCAACCUAACUGGUUGUCAUCUUUUUUUCAGGCAAGUCUUUUUGCUUGACAACCUCGACCUUGGCAUUUUCAAUAAGUCACACAGUGUGCUCCCUAGGAUAUCAGAAUUUCAUCCCGAGUCCUUCCAUCGAAUGCUUGCCAUGGCUGCUGACCCGGUUAAAGGAACUACCUCCUACGCGCAUGCCAAUCUGAGAGACGCUUCGACAGUAUGGUACACACGCCACAAGUUUCCGCCAUCAGCUCCGCCGUUUGCAACGACCAACAAGCUUACUAGGCGUUCCAGCAUGCCGAUGGCAGGACACCCCCCAAACACAACUCCUGUAAUGCAUGGGCAAACCGAGGUUUUAACACCUACCGGUCCCGCUCCCGGGCCACUUCAUUUUGCAAAGUAUCUACGGGACAAGUAUCCUCAUCUAGUAUGUGCUUCCUUUUUAAGUGUUUUAUGCAUUAAUUUUCGACAUCAGUUACCACUGAUGGUAAAUCCCCAGGUCCUCACCAUUCAAUCUAUCGCAGCCCUCCCUGCCACCUCCAAGUCUGUACGCUUUAGGACGCCUGUAGCAGGAAAAAUACAGGGACAAAGACCUGAGCUAUCUGAUUGCGAAGCUACGUCGCCUCUGCCACCAGCCGGUAUGCGCAAGCGCGCCAUGGAUGCGCAGGAUUCUACAUCAAAUAGCAAGAAAUCCUCCUCGCGAGCAUCUUCCAAUGCGCUCAAUUACUUCAAGUCCACUUUAAUGUCCAUCGCUCAAAUGUACGCAGACCUUCCAGUCAACACUCCAUUUACUGUCUUUGGACAGUGCUGCACCAAUCUACACAAGCGGAAAUACAUAUUCCAGCAUGGAUUUGCAACCGAUCCAUGGGUGAAUGGUGUUGUGCCACAUCCGCCACACAUGCCAACAACCGACCUUAUUGUUGCCCACUUCACACAGCUGCCAACGCAAGACCUACAGAGUCCACGACUGAUCUGCGUUACCGGUAUGGCGUUGCGCGAGCAGCUUGUCGGGAUGCAGCACCUUCACCACGAGCUUGUUUCUAUAAUCAUGAGGAGCUAUUCCUCCAAGUUUAUCGUUCAACCCCUGACCUCUUAUGCAUUCACCCUUUUCCAGACCAUUGUCCUUGCGGACCAUGAAUAUUUGACGAACAUCUCGAUCCAGAAGCAGCUGGUUGGCAACGAGAUCCCAUAUGACAUAACCUCUUGCCAGAUGUUCUUCUUGCCAAUACCAUCAGAGGAUGGAUGGAUAAUACUGAUGUGGGACAUGUUGUCAAGGAAGCUCCACGUGCUUGACCCUCUCACCAGAGGAGGAGGUCCGAGCGACGCAACAAAAGACAAGCACGAACUCAUAGCUUGGAAGCUUCAUCACGCUCUUUUCCAAUGCUUGAACGAGUACUACGCUGGCUGGCCCACGCAAGACGGCCAGUGGGCGACCAAAUACCCCGUUGUAGCUGAGGACAAUUUCGAUACACAAGAAACUGGCGCGUGCGUGCUCCACAUCGCCCGACACUACGACGGCCAGAAGCUGAAGAUCCCUCUAACCAAGUACAAUGUCGGCAAAACGAAAAGGCAGGCCCUGCAUGAGUGUGUCAAACUUCAGGGCAAUUCGUCAAAGUUGGCGCAUGAGGCUCUGUGGACGGUACUAGCACCCACCGACUCUUGGCUUGGGUCAAACCAGUCCGGUUAG